rnacentral:tRNA from 1 species
UACCUUGUAGCUCAGUUGGCUAGAGCGUUGGCUGUAAUAAAGCCUUCCCCUUGCUGGCGUGGGUUCAAAUCCCACCGAGGCCA